rnacentral:snRNA from 1 species
GUGCUCACUUAGGCAGCACAUGUACUGAAACUGGAAUGACACAGAGAUGAACAUGGUCCCUGUGCAAGGAUGACACACAAAUUCAUGAAUUGCUCCAUAUUGUU